AGAGUUUGAUCCUGGCUCAGGAUGAACGCUGACAGAAUGCUUAACACAUGCAAGUCUUUGGCGAAGCUGUGCUUGCACAGCCUAGCCAAGGCGGACGGGUGAGUAACGCGUAAGGAACUUGCCCUGCAGUCAGGGAUAACAGACGGAAACGACUGAUAAGACCUGGUAAAGUCAGGCGGACUCAUGUCCAGCCUGAUGAAAAGAGAUGCUGCAGGAGAGCCUUGCGUCCUAUUAGCUUGUUGGUGGGGUAACGGCCCACCAAGGCGAUGAUAGGUAGCCGGCCUGAGAGGGUGGACGGCCACAAGGGGACUGAGAUACGGCCCUUACUCCUACGGGAGGCAGCAGUGGGGAAUAUUGGACAAUGGGGGCAACCCUGAUCCAGCAAUUCUGUGUGCACGAUGAAGGUUUUCGGAUUGUAAAGUGCUUUCAGCAGGGAAGAAGAAAGUGACGGUACCUGCAGAAGAAGCGACGGCUAAAUACGUGCCAGCAGCCGCGGUAAUACGUAUGUCGCAAGCGUUAUCCGGAAUUAUUGGGCAUAAAGGGCAUCUAGGCGGCCAGAUAAGUCUGGGGUGAAAACUUGCGGCUCAACCGCAAGCCUGCCCUGGAAACUAUGUGGCUAGAGUACUGGAGAGGUGGACGGAACUGCACGAGUAGAGGUGAAAUUCGUAGAUAUGUGCAGGAAUGCCGAUGAUGAAGAUAGUUCACUGGACGGUAACUGACGCUGAAGUGCGAAAGCUAGGGGAGCAAACAGGAUUAGAUACCCUGGUAGUCCUAGCUGUAAACGAUGAUUACUGGGUGUGGGCAUGAAGAGUGUCCGUGCCGAAGCUAAUGCGAUAAGUAAUCCGCCUGGGGAGUACGACCGCAAGGUUGAAACUCAAAGGAAUUGACGGGGACCC
rnacentral:rRNA from 1 species